GCAGGCUGGAGGCUCUUGUGGGGGGGUAUAAACAGGCUAUGUGUUGCUCAAGGCUCUCUAUGCAUGGUCUCAGGGUGGCAAUCAUUGUUCACUCUCCCUCAAGGCUUCCAACGCAAUAACCAGCUACGUACAUGUAACUGUGUUACGGCUGCAGGCUUGAGGCCUUUGGGGGAGAGUGGUCAA
rnacentral:misc_RNA from 1 species